GAGUUUGAUCAUGGCUCAGGAUGAACGCUAGCGGCAGGCUUAACACAUGCAAGUCGAGGGGUAUAGUUCUUCGGAAUUAGAGACCGGCGCACGGGUGCGUAACGCGUAUGCAAUCUACCUUUCACAGAGGGAUAGCCCAGAGAAAUUUGGAUUAAUACCUCAUAGUAUAACGACUCUGCAUGGAGAUGUUAUUAAAGUCACAACGGUGAAAGAUGAGCAUGCGUCCCAUUAGCUAGUUGGUAAGGUAACGGCUUACCAAGGCUACGAUGGGUAGGGGUCCUGAGAGGGAGAUCCCCCACACUGGUACUGAGACACGGACCAGACUCCUACGGGAGGCAGCAGCGAGGAAUAUUGGACAAUGGGCGCAAGCCUGAUCCAGCCAUGCCGCGUGCAGGAUGACGGUCCUAUGGAUUGUAAACUGCUUUUGCACAGGAAGAAACAACGCUACGUGUAGCGUCUUGACGGUACUGUGAGAAUAAGGAUCGGCUAACUCCGUGCCAGCAGCCGCGGUAAUACGGAGGAUCCAAGCGUUAUCCGGAAUCAUUGGGUUUAAAGGGUCCGUAGGCGGUUUAGUAAGUCAGUGGUGAAAGCCCAUCGCUCAACGGUGGAACGGCCAUUGAUACUGCUAGACUUGAAUUAUUAGGAAGUAACUAGAAUAUGUAGUGUAGCGGUGAAAUGCUUAGAGAUACAUGGAAUAC
rnacentral:rRNA from 1 species